rnacentral:rRNA from 1 species
AUUGAACGCUGGCGGCAGGCUUAACACAUGUAAGUCGAGAGGGGUGAGGUGCUUCGGUACUGAUCCUAGCGGCGGACGGGUGAGUAAUGCUUAGGAAUCUGCCUAUUAGUGGGGGACAACAUUCCGAAAGGAAUGCUAAUACCGCAUACGUCCUACGGGAGAAAGCAGGGGAUCUUCGGACCUUGCGCUAAUAGAUGAGCCUAAGUCGGAUUAGCUAGUUGGUGGGGUAAAGGCCUACCAAGGCGACGGUCUGUAGCGGGUCUGAGAGGAUGAUCCGCCACACUGGGACUGAGACACGGCCCAGACUCCUACGGGAGGCAGCAGUGGGGAAUAUUGGACAAUGGGCGGAAGCCUGAUCCAACCAUGCCGCGUGUGUGAAGAAGGCCUUUUGGUUGUAAAGCACUUUAAGCGAGGAGGAGGCUACCUAGAUUAAUACUCUGGGAUAGUGGACGUUACUCGCAGAAGAAGCACCGGCUGACUCUGUGCCAGCCGCCGCCGUAAGAC